UACGAAGGUCCCGAGCGUUAUCCGGAUUUACUGGGCGUAAAGCGUGCGUAGGUGGUGAGUUAAGUCUGUCGUGAAAGCCCCGGGCUCAACCUGGGAAUGGCGAUGGAUACUGGCUCGCUAGAGUGCGGUAGAGGAGAGUGGAAUUCCCGGUGUAGCAGUGAAAUGCGCAGAUAUCAGGAGGAACACCAAUGGCGAAGGCAGCUCGCUGGGACGGUACUGACGCUGAGACGCGAAAGCGUGGGGAGCAAACAGG
rnacentral:rRNA from 1 species